UAAUAAUAAUAAUGAUGAUGAUGAUGAUGAUGAUGAUGAUAACAGCAACAGAAAUAUUUCCACCACAUCGCCUCGAACGUCUACAUCAUCGUCAUCAUCAUCAUCAUCAUCGUCAUCA
rnacentral:pre_miRNA from 1 species